AUAAAAAUACACACACAAAAUAUGAUUGCGGGCGCUUGCAGUGUCGGCUUACUCGGAAUUGCUCGUAAUUGAUCGUUUUUGUUUUCAAAGUUCUAAUGGUUCCAACUUCCAGAGUACAUAAUAAAAUUCAUUGAUUUCACUGUGAUCAAUUAUUUCAAAGUUGCUUACGAUAUUGCUCCCCGUAUUCUGGUUAAAAUUAAGGUUAAUGUGUUGUCCUGGUUGCGGCAACAAUUCCGGCUCAGUCUCGGAAUCAAACACGUACUGUGAUGAUUGUUUAUCAGAGGAAAACAUUACACGCUUGAUAACAGGUUAUUUCAAUCGUGGUUAUCCGUAUGGGGCAAUCGUCAGACUUUUGCAAACCUCCGGUAUUCUGAUGUCUAUACGGACGUUGAAGCGCCGCUUCAGAUCUUUGGACUUAAGACGAAAAGGACAAGUCGUUGAUGAACAAAAUUUAAGAAAUGUUAUAGAGUAUAUAAAAGCCUAGGAGCAAACGCUUGCUGGCACCUCGACGGAUAUGACAAACUCAAACCAUAUGGGUUUGCAGUACAUGGUGCUGUUUGUGGUUACAGCAGAAGAAUUCUGUGGCUUGAGGUUGUCAGAUCAAACAAAAAUCCAAAUGUAAUUGCAGAAAUAUUUCUUAAUGCUGUUAAGGAGUUUGGAGGCUGCACAUUGUGGGACAGAAAAUGUUUUAUUGUCUGCAAUGCAAUGCUACCUGAGAGCUGAUGGAGAUGAUGAAUGGGCAGGGGAGAAAGCUCAUGUUUAUGGAUCCUCUCUUUCAAAUCAAA